GAUCAUGGCUCAGGAUGAACGCUAGCGGCAGGCUUAACACAUGCAAGUCGAGGGGCAGCAUAAUGGAUAGCAAUAUCUAUGGUGGCGACCGGCGCACGGGUGCGUAACGCGUAUGCAACCUACCUUUAACAGGGGGAUAACACUGAGAAAUUGGUACUAAUUCCCCAUAACAUUCGGGAAGGCAUCUUCUUGGGUUAAAAACUCCGGUGGUUAAAGAUGGGCAUGCGUUGUAUUAGCUAGUUGG
rnacentral:rRNA from 1 species